AUUGAACGCUGGCGGCAUGCCUUACACAUGCAAGUCGAACGGCAGCACGGGGCAACCUGGUGGCGAGUGGCGAACGGGUGAGUAAUGCAUCGGAACGUACCUUUCAGUGGGGGAUAACGUAGCGAAAGUUACGCUAAUACCGCAUAUUCUGUGAGCAGGAAAGCAGGGGAUCGCAAGACCUUGCGCUGAUUGAGCGGCCGAUGUCAGAUUAGCUAGUUGGUGAGGGAAAGGCUCACCAAGGCGACGAUCUGUAGCGGGGCUGAGAGGAUGAUCCGCAACACUGGAACUGAGACACGGUCCAGACUCCUACGGGAGGCAGCAGUGGGGAAUUUUGGACAAUGGGGGCAACCCUGAUCCAGCCAUGCCGCGGGAGUGAAGAAGGCCUUCGGGUUGUAAAGCUCUUUCGGCCGGGAAGAAAUCGCACGGGCUAAUACCCUGUGUGGAUGACGGUACCGGAAUAAGAAGCACCGGCUAACUACGUGCCAGCCGCCGCAGUAAAAC
rnacentral:rRNA from 1 species